CCUAAGGGAGGCAGCAGUGGGGAAUAUUGGACAAUGGGGGGAACCCUGAUCCAGCCAUGCCGCGUGUGUGAAGAAGGCCCUCGGGUUGUAAAGCACUUUCAGUGAGGAAGAACGCCUGGUGGUUAAUACCCAUCAGGAAAGACAUCACUCACAGAAGAAGCACCGGCUAACUCCGUGCCAGCAGCCGCGGUAAUACGGAGGGUGCGAGCGUUAAUCGGAAUUACUGGGCGUAAAGCGCGCGUAGGUGGCUUGAUAAGCCGGUUGUGAAAGCCCCGGGCUCAACCUGGGAACGGCAUCCGGAACUGUCAAGCUAGAGUGCAGGAGAGGAAGGUAGAAUUCCCGGUGUAGCGGUGAAAUGCGUAGAGAUCGGGAGGAAUACCAGUGGCGAAGGCGGCCUUCUGGACUGACACUGACACUGAGGUGCGAAAGCGUGGGUAGCAAACAGGAUUAGAUACCCUGGUAGUC
rnacentral:rRNA from 1 species